CUUCCAGAAAGCCUUCAGUGAUGGGCCUUUGUGCAAGCUCAUCAUCAUAAAGCCCAUCCAUGCGGACCACAACAGACAUGGAAAGCGAGGGCCCGGGUGUACAGAGCCAGCCUCUCCUCUGGUGGUUGGAUUGGUUUAUGCAAUCCUCCUUUUGUCUUCUUUAGGCUCACAGGACUGAGACUCCAAACUGGGCUUGGAGAGUCAUCCCCCUGGAGCCAUCUCAUCACACUGCCAGGCUCUGCAUCACUGUUGUGUGGAAUGCUGGCAGCAUGCCAUGAUUGUGGAUUAUCCUCUGGAUUUUAGCAGAUGAGGAACUUGAGUCUCAGAGAAGUGAAGAACCAGUCAAGGUUGCGCACCUGACACGUGGUGGAGCUGUCUGCCUCUUCUCAGUGACCGUGAUGCCUCGUGAGCAUAUGGUGGUUCAGCCCCCAAAUGCCUAUGUAAAUUAGUAAGUGAUAAAU
rnacentral:lncRNA from 1 species